UCGAAAUUAGCUAGUAAUCGCGGAUCAGCAUGCCGCGGUGAAUACGUUCCCGGGCCUUGUACACACCGCCCGUCACACCAUGGGAGCCGGUAAUACCCGAAGUCAGUAGUCCAACCUCGUGAGGACGCUGCCGAAGGUAGGAUUGGCGACUGGGGUGAAGUCGUAACAAGGUAUC
rnacentral:rRNA from 1 species